rnacentral:ncRNA from 1 species
CAAACGAAAGGGCAAACUUAUCGAAAGGUAAGGACGCAAAGCCUAAGGAUCUAACGUCAUUUGACUAUGAUAGCCGGGUUGCCGAA